rnacentral:rRNA from 1 species
CUACGAGUGGCUCCAGUUAGGAAUAAUCUACAACGCGCGCAAGCGUGAUAGUUUGAACCAGAGUGUGUUCCAAUUGGAAUACUUUUGCCAAGUGUAAAAAGCUUGGCGAAUAAGGACUGGGUAAGACGAGUGCCAGCCGCCGCGGUAAUACUCGCGGUCCAAGUCGCAGCCAUUUUUAUUGGGUCUAAAACAUCCGUAGCUUGUUCAGUAAGUUUCCUGUGAAAUCUUAUAUCUUAAAUAUAAGGCGAGCAAGAAAUACUACUUAACUAGAGACUGGGAGACGUAGGAAGUAUGUUCAAAGUAGUGGUGAAAUAUGUUAAUCUUGAACAGACUCACAACAGCGAAGGCAUCCUACGAGAACAGUUCUGACAGUAAGGGAUGAAGGCUAGGGGCGCAAAACGGAUUAGAUACCCGGGUAGUC